GAGUUUGAUCUUGGCUCAGAUUGAACGCUGGCGGCAUGCCUUACACAUGCAAGUCGAACGGCAGCACGGGAGCUUGCUCCUGGUGGCGAGUGGCGAACGGGUGAGUAAUGCAUCGGAACGUAUCCUGGAGUGGGGGAUAACGUAGCGAAAGUUACGCUAAUACCGCAUAUUCUGUGAGCAGGAAAGCGGGGGACUUUCGGGCCUCGCGCUCUUGGAGCGGCCGAUGUCGGAUUAGCUAGUUGGUGAGGUAAAGGCUCACCAAGGCGACGAUCCGUAGCAGGUCUGAGAGGAUGAUCUGCCACACUGGAACUGAGACACGGUCCAGACUCCUACGGGAGGCAGCAGUGGGGAAUUUUGGACAAUGGGGGCAACCCUGAUCCAGCCAUGCCGCGUGAGUGAAGAAGGCCUU
rnacentral:rRNA from 1 species